UGGCAGCGUUCAUGUCGUAAUAGUUGAUGUA
rnacentral:piRNA from 1 species